UCCCUGGUGGUCCAGUGGCUAAGACUCUGAGCUCCCAAUGCAGGGGGGCCCAGGUUCCAUUCCUGGUUAGGGAA
rfam:TPA: Bos taurus chromosome 19, whole genome shotgun sequence.